GUAACACGUGUGCAACCAACCCCGUACCGGGAGAUAACCCGCGGAAACGUGGACUAACACCCCAUAAGACCUUUCCCCCGCAUGGGGGGGAGUUUAAAACCCCGGUGGUACGGGACGGGCACGCGCGACAUUAGGUAGUUGGCGGGGUAACGGCCCACCAAGCCGACGAUGUCUAGGGGUUCUGAGAGGAAGGUCCCCCACACUGGAACUGAGACACGGUCCAGACUCCUACGGGAGGCAGCAGUGAGGAAUAUUGGUCAAUGGGCGAGAGCCUGAACCAGCCAAGUCGCGUGAGGGAAGAAUGGUCUAUGGCCUGUAAACCUCUUUUGUCAAGGAAGAACAUGUAGUACGUGUACUACCCUGCCAGUACUUGACGAAUAAGCAUCGGCUAACUCCGUGCCAGCAGCCGCGGUAAUACGGGGGAUGCGAGCGUUAUCCGGAUUUAUUGGGUUUAAAGGGCGCGUAGGCGGGACGUCAAGUCAGCGGUAAAAGACUGCAGCUAAACUGUAGCACGCCGUUGAAACUGUCGACCUGGAGACGAGACGAGGGAGGCGGAACAAGUGAAGUAGCGGUGAAAUGCAUAGAUAUCACUUGGAACCCCGAUAGCGAAGGCAGCUUCCCAGGCUCGAUCUGACGCUGAUGCGCGAGAGCGUGGGUAGCGAACAGGAUUAGAUACCCUGGUAGUCCACGCCGUAGACGAUGCUCACUGGAUCUUGGCGAUACACGGCCAGGGUUCAAGCGAAAGUAUUAAGUGAGCCACCUGGGGAGUACGUCGGCAACGAUGAAACUCAAAGGAAUUGACGGGGGCCCGCACAAGCGGAGGAACAUGUGGUUUAAUUCGAUGAUACGCGAGGAACCUUACCCGGGUUUAAAUGCAGGUUGCAUGAGGUGGAAACACCUCUUUCCCUCGGGACUACCUGCAAGGUGCUGCAUGGUUGUCGUCAGCUCGUGCCGUGAGGUGUCGGGUUAAGUCCCAUAACGAGCGCAACCCCUAUCGCCAGUUGCCAUCGGUUUCGGCCGGGCACUCUGUCGGGACUGCCACCGUAAGGUGCGAGGAAGGCGGGGAUGACGUCAAAUCAGCACGGCCCUUACACCCGGGGCGACACACGUGUUACAAUGGCCGGUACAGAGGGCAGCCACGGGGCGACCCGGAGCGAAUCUCUAAAGCCGGUCGUAGUUCGGACUGGAGUCUGCAACCCGACUCCACGAAGUUGGAUUCGCUAGUAAUCGCGCAUCA
rnacentral:rRNA from 1 species